AUGAACGCUGGCGGCGUGCCUAAUACAUGCAAGUCGAGCGAACAGACGAGGAGCUUGCUCCUCUGACGUUAGCGGCGGACGGGUGAGUAACACGUGGAUAACCUACCUAUAAGACUGGGAUAACUUCGGGAAACCGGAGCUAAUACCGGAUAAUAUAUUGAACCGCAUGGUUCAAUAGUGAAAGACGGUUUUGCUGUCACUUAUAGAUGGAUCCGCGCCGCAUUAGCUAGUUGGUAAGGUAACGGCUUACCAAGGCAACGAUGCUUAGCCGACCUGAGAGGGUGAUCGGCCACACUGGAACUGAGACACGGUCCAGACUCCUACGGGAGGCAGCAGUAGGGAAUCUUCCGCAAUGGGCGAAAGCCUGACGGAGCAACGCCGCGUGAGUGAUGAAGGUCUUCGGAUCGUAAAACUCUGUUAUUAGGGAAGAACAAAUGUGUAAGUAACUAUGCACGUCUUGACGGUACCUAAUCAGAAAGCCACGGCUAACUACGUG
rnacentral:rRNA from 1 species